rnacentral:lncRNA from 1 species
AUGGAUAGGGGAAAUUGCUCCUCUGUGGACAAAUUCAUUUUCUCAGGAAUUACCAAUAACCCUGACACAAAAGUGGCCCUGUUCAUCACAUUCCUACUUGUUUAUCUCAUUGCACUUCUUGUCAAUCUUGGAAUGAUAAUUUUAAUUAGAGUGGAUGCUCAGCUUCACACACCCAUGUACUUUUUUCUCACCAAGAAAAAGUAA